rnacentral:sRNA from 2 species
GGUGGCUCAAACCCUACCGGUGAGGGGACCGGUCUUGAAAACCGGUGAGCACUGCGUCUCUUGUCGGUUCGAGUCCGACAGCCACCG